CUUCGGGAGAAAGAUUUAUCGGAGUUGGAUGAGCCCGCGUUGGAUUAGCUAGUUGGUGGGGUAAUGGCCUACCAAGGCGACGAUCCAUAGCUGGUCUGAGAGGAUGAUCAGCCACACUGGGACUGAGACACGGCCCAGACUCCUACGGGAGGCAGCAGUGGGGAAUAUUGGACAAUGGGCGAAAGCCUGAUCCAGCCAUGCCGCGUGAGUGAUGAAGGCCCUAGGGUUGUAAAGCUCUUUCACCGGUGAAGAUAAUGACGGUAACCGGAGAAGAAGCCCCGGCUAACUUCGUGCCAGCAGCCGCGGUAAUACGAAGGGGGCUAGCGUUGUUCGGAAUUACUGGGCGUAAAGCGCACGUAGGCGGAUUGUUAAGUCAGGGGUGAAAUCCUGGAGCUCAACUCCAGAACUGCCUUUGAUACUGGCGAUCUUGAGUCCGGGAGAGGUGAGUGGAACUGCGAGUGUAGAGGUGAAAUUCGUAGAUAUUCGCAAGAACACCAGUGGCGAAGGCGGCUCACUGGCCCGGUACUGAC
rnacentral:rRNA from 1 species